ACUGGGCACGAUGGCACUUGCCUAUAGUCCCACCUACUUGGGAGGCUGAGACAAGAGGAUCCCUUGAAUCCAGGAGUUCCGGGCUGUAGUGCACUAUGGAGAUUGGGUGGCCACACUAAGUUCGGCAUCAGUAUAGUGACCUCCUAGGAGUGGGGGGCACCAGGUUACCUAAGGAGAGGUGAACCGGCCCAAGUCGGAAACGGAGCAGGUCAAAGCUCGGGUGCUGAUCAGUAGUGGGAUCGCAUUUAUGAAUGGUCACUGCACUCUAGCAUGGGUGAAACAUAGUGACUUUUUUC
ensembl:misc_RNA Metazoa_SRP Metazoan signal recognition particle RNA